UCCCACAACACGGAAUUAUGGGAGCUACAAGAUGAGAUUUGAGUGGGGACACAGAGCCAAACCAUAUCAUCCAGCGUCCAGGAAGAUUCAGGUCACUCAGACUUGAAGGAUGGGGUCAGUAAAACUCUGUGGAAACAAAAAGGUGUAGCAGAAAGACCACUAGAUGGGUGUCAGGAAACUUUGACUCUAACCCCAGCAAGGCCACUCGCAUUUUCUCUGUGAUUUUGUGUGUUGAAGAUUCUGCCACAUUGAUACAUAUCAGACAGACUUGCUCUUUAAAGACACCAAAGUGACUGGGCACGAUGGCUUACAUAGGUAAUCCCAGCACUUUGGGAGGCUGAGGCAGGAGGAUUGCUUGAAGCCAGGGGUUCGAGACCAGCUGGAGUGACAAAGUGAGACCCCACCUCUUUCUCUUUAAAAAAAGACAGCAAAGAAUUUUAUGAUAUGGAUGCACAUCUCAAGUAUUUUAACCAUCUCUUGAAAUGUUCUUGGGCCUCAGCCUAGGCACUAUGCCUAUAGAAACUAAUGGAUAAAGCAACCCUGCUUCUUUAAAGGCCUGGAGGCAAGUGCAAUCACGUUUAAUGCUGAAUAUGGCAAACUUAUUUUCCCUGUUGAAGCCAAGUAUCUGUGUGGAGGAUUAGUUGGAUGCAUGCUUCCAAAAGAAACCAGCUGUUCUUGUAAGUAAAGGCCUGCUGAAAGAAGAAACCAACCUAUUUAGCUUGGAGAAUAUGGGGGCACAGAUUGCCUUUUCCCAUCACCUGCCAGGAACACCAUGCACUUAUUUCAUCUCAAUGCAAGAUACAAGAUCUAGGAUCCAAAACACUAUUUUCUAUCACAAAGCCAGUUCUCACACCUUUUUCAGAUCAAAUGUUCCAGCCUCUUCAGAAAAGCUUAGAAAAUAGUCUUUCUUUCACUCCCCACCAGUCUUCAUUGUGACAUAUGUUGCAUAUCAUAACCCUUGGUACUGGAUGAAAGCUCCCAAUCUGAAUCAAGAACAGGUAAAGGUAAACAAAAAAUUGAGGCUAAAAGAAUCACUUAACCUGAACCACAUGGUAGGAAAAGCAUGCUAGAAUGGAAUAUCCAACCGGCUAUGGACAUUGUUUUUGGCAGACAAAUGAAUGGCCCCAUUAUAAAGGCAUCAGGGUUGGUGUAUUGUCCAACUCUAGGGGGCAACAUUGAAUUGUAUCCUAUCGUUAUGGUGCUCCCUGGAGUUCUGUAAACACAUAGGUCUGAGAGUGAUUAUCACAUGCCUAUCUUAUCCAGGGAAAUAAGGAGCAAAAUGGCCCAGAAGAAGAGAAAGAACAUUCUACCAAGUCACACGUAACCUACCAACAGUCCACAACUGCAAUUGAUUUCAUGCCCAACUCUUGCUACACCUAAGAUUUGCAUAACUUAGUACUGGGGAGGUUUUGGGGGAAACCAGAAUUCCACCUCUGAAGCCAAGCCAAAUCUUCAGUGACUGGAGACUGGGAAAGCUGCCUUUUUCAAAUUUAGUUUGUCUUUCCCAAUAGCACUUAAAGGACAAACGUGUUCUGUUCUGCAUCUUUGGAACUCACUAUUCAUGGUUAAGUCAUUGCCUUUGAGACUUUAUAAGGGCUAUUGGCAGUUUAGCUUUACAGUAAAUGUAGUGUAAUUUACACAAUAAAAUGCAGUCACUUGUUUAAUUACUUACCUCA